GACAUUUUGACACAAAUUUCGUAUAGACUAUGAAGGAAAAAACUUUAUUUGAUACAUUAUUUGAAUCAAAAGUUGCAUUUCUAAUCCAUAGAAUUUUCUUAUUUUGUGUUUUUGAAUUCUCCAAACAUUAAUUUAAAAGUUAAGAUAAAAAAUGGUAGGUCACCGUCCAUAUAAGAAAGAUACAAGCUAAUUUGGACAAGAAAAUAAAUAAAAAAGGGAGUUAACUUUAAAUUCAUGAAUUGAAUAAAUUUGAAAAUUUUAUUUUUUCUUGUUCAGAUUUUAAUUGUUUCUUUAUAUACAUCAAUACAUCAAUGGUAUUUGGUAUGUUAGUGUUUAGUAUUAAGAGGAUGAGUUGUGUACCACCAAGCCCGC
rnacentral:lncRNA from 1 species